rnacentral:rRNA from 1 species
UGAACGCUGGCGGCGUGCUUAACACAUGCAAGUCGAACGGUGAAGGCGGAGCUUGCUCUGCUGGAUCAGUGGCGAACGGGUGAGUAACACGUGAGCAAUCUGCCCCUGACUCUGGGAUAAGCGCUGGAAACGGCGUCUAAUACUGGAUACGAGCUGCGAAGGCAUCUUCAGCAGCUGGAAAGAACUUCGGUCAGGGAUGAGCUCGCGGCCUAUCAGCUUGUUGGUGAGGUAACGGCUCACCAAGGCGUCGACGGGUAGCCGGCCUGAGAGGGUGACCGGCCACACUGGGACUGAGACACGGCCCAGACUCCUACGGGAGGCAGCAGUGGGGAAUAUUGCACAAUGGGCGAAAGCCUGAUGCAGCAACGCCGCGUGAGGGACGACGGCCUUCGGGUUGUAAACCUCUUUUAGCAGGGAAGAAGCGAAAGUGACGGUACCUGCAGAAAAAGCGCCGGCUAACUACGUG